AGUCUAACACAUUCAUGUGUUACUCUGAAGCGUGGGCACAUGUAUGAACAUAUCUAUGUGUAAUGCUGGUUUUAUCAGUAUAUGCUAUGUUUGUGAGUGGUAGACUAAAAAGGUACAGAUGUGUGGAAACCUCAUAUUUUACCUAGUAAUGGGCGUUCAGCACGCUUCAGGUUGAAGUGUGGCUGUACAUAUAAAGAAUGGCAGGUGACAGGUGAGUCAGUGGAUCAACUUAUCGGUGAAAGAUUUUGCUGAACUCCGCAAUUCUCUGAAGUUUUGCUAACGUUUUGAAAUGUUUGGAAAGGGACACAGCCAUCACGGACAUGGCCACCACGACCAUGGGCACCAUAAACAUGGCCACCACGGCAAGCAUGAGCAUGGACAUGGUGAUCACCAUGGGGGACAUGGUGGUGGCCAUGAGGGACACGGCCACCAUGGCCACCAUGAGCACGGACACGGUGGCGGCCAGCAGUGGCGUGUCUAGAAGAUUUUUGUUGGGGGGGCCAGGCCGCAUCCUUCGGAGGACCCGGCCUAUUGACCACUGUCAGCAGGUCUACCUCCCGAUGAGCCGAUUGUCAGAUUGGCCGCAGACGAAGACCCCCUGACAAGUGUACAGUCUGCCUUGUACCACAUGGGGGCGCCAUGCUCAAACACAGUACGGCCAAACGUAUUCAGUGUUGUACUUUGCAUCCCAGCUGUGGCUUACCUCACCUGGCUGAAUGUGGACAUGACAUCAUCUUAAAGUUCAGCACAAAAAUACUCACAGACGGUGAACGUCCUGAUGUUACUGUAAUUAAACCUGUUCAUCUUUGCUGUUAACGAUAAUUUAAAUAGUGAUAAUAUUAGUAAAUAUACCAACGUUAGUAAAAAUACAGAAUAACUUUGAUCAGCUGUGGAGUUACCUGCUGUACAGGUUGGCCUGUGUUUAAAAGGUUUUAACGGUUAAUGACUGGUUUCCAGUUUAUUCAACAGAUUCAUCAGUGAUUAGACUGAGACUAAAGUUCAAUUAUACAAACUUCCUUCCUUCUUCCUACCUUAACUUCCUAACUCCGUUAUUCAUUUCUUUCCUUACUUUUG